AUUUAUAUAGUUUAAAAAAACAUUACAUUUUCACUGUAAAAAUAAUAUUUUUAUAUAUUUAUAAAUA
rnacentral:tRNA from 1 species